rnacentral:lncRNA from 10 species
GACUCGGUGGGGAAAGGGUGGGAGGAGAGGGAAGGAUAAAAGACUACACAUUGUGUAGAGUGUACAGUGCUUGGGUGACAAGUGGACCAAAAUCUCAGAAAUCACCACUAAAGAACUUACCCAUGUAACCAAACACCACCUGUUCCCCAAAGACUUACCAAAAUACAAAAAGAUGGCCAGGCACGGUGGCUCACGUCUGUAAUCUCAGCACUUUGGGAGGCUGAGGUGGGUGGAUCACAUGAGGUCAGGAGUUGAAGACAAGCCUGACCAACAUGGUGAAACCCCAUCUCUACCAAAAAUAUGAAAAAUUAGCUGGGCAUGGUGGUGGGCGCCUGUAGUCCCAGCUACUCAGGAGGCCUAGGCAGCAGAAUUGCUUGAACCUGGGAGGUGGAGCUUGCAGUGAGCCGAGAUCAUACCACUGUACUCCAGCCUGGGCGACACAGCGAGACUCUAUCUUAAAAAAAAAAAAAAAAGACUAAAAAUAAAUAAAUAAAUAAAUAAAUAAUAAAGUUAAUGAGGCUGAGAAACCAGAAAAAAAAAAGACAGACUCCAGUAAGAUUGAACAAGACGACCAGAGGAAAUUCACAAACAUUGGAAAUGAAACGAGGGACACAGUGGCAAAGAUUGAAAGGGUAGUCUGAACAACUUUCUAUCACUAAAUUUGAAAACUUAGCUAAAAUGAAUAAAUU